GCUUGCUAUCCAUGUGCCAGAGCCAUGAGUUGGUUGCGAGAUCUUAUGAGUUUCACCUCUAGCCUACCCCAACUUGUUUGGGACUAAAGGCUUUGUUGUUGUUGUUGUUGUUGUUGUUGUAGGGUUCAGAUUUUAAGAUCUCCGGUGGGCUUCUAUAGGAUUGGUAGAAGAGGAGGACCAGAGCUGACCAACUCUUCUCAAGGUCACCUUUCUACAACAAUGUAAGCAGCUUCCUUCAAGAAACUUAUCGAGUCUUCUGAUCGACGCAUCAUGAAUCGGGCAUUUAGUUGAUAGAUGUAUCGGUGUUGUGUAUUUCCAGAUUGUACUCAAACUAACUUGGCCCCUAUAUUAAAGAUGCAUGGCUUGAUUUUAAAAUUAUGGUUAUGAACACAAAGCUAAUUUGUACUCUGUUCUACACUACUGUCCCUUGGACAGUGAUCCCACAAUUGAGAGGAAGCCAAACAUAGGUACAUAUGUUUUCCUUCAUCCAAUCCAAUGGUUUUUUCUUAAGGCCAUUGAAUACAUCAUGUAACCCCACAUAAAUGGUUGGGAACCAGAUAAAUUUAAUUUAUCUUCAAUACCCUCUCCAAAAUAUUGCUGCUGCAUGUAUUAGGCAGGAUCUAUAAGAGUUAUUGCUAUGUAUAUGUUGUGAAUCUGCCAAUGUAGUCAAUUUGCGGUUCUAUCAUAUUUCUUAGUUCAAGCCCCUGAGAUAAUGCGUUUAAAUUUAUGAACUCAAACAGUUCAAGAUUCAGUAAAAAUGCAUGAUGAUCUUUACAAAUUAUCUAUUUUUCUAUGGGACUUCGAAGAUAAUAAAUUAGGUGCAUAGUAGUGGCAUGUUACAUGGUCUAGGUAGGUUCUAAGGAAGGGGAGUGUUGGAUCAGUCUCAUAUUCAUAUUGGUGCGUGUGGUGGUAACUGAGAUGGGACGCUGUGGCAUGCUUUUGUGUUGUUGAUAGUUAGUGUGGAUUGCUUAAUUGGUCCUCUUGAAUGGGUAGAUCAAUCUGGUGCCAGCUUAGGGGACGGGUUAGGUGUGAUAUACUAGCUUUUCUGUUUAUUGGGAUGGUCAGCAUUGUUAUAUACCAUUUUCAGGGUUUCAGUCUUGUUAGUUGCAGGUGUCUGACAGAUGGUUGUUCACCCUUAUGAGGUGUACCAAGCGAUCAUCCUUUCCGAACUGUACACAGUGCUUUGGAGACAAAAAUUCCACUGCUGUGCUACUGAACCUUGGUCGUGCAAGCUAAUCUAAUGGAUGUCUGUUAACUCCUUGUGUACACAUAGUCCGUAUGUUAUGCGUGGGGAAAUGAAAUGAAGUAAUAUAUAAAUAUGUGAAUGUAUGCCUUUUAUUUUAUUUUAUUUUAUUGACGAGCAUGGCACGAGUUCUUCCGUUUUUAUUAAAGAUAGGAAAAGGGAAAAAAAUACUUAGUUCCUUGGUUAAUGUCUUUUUAUUUUAUUUUAUCAUUUUCUCAGUGUGUUAUGAGUCAUCGUUGGCCAUACAGUUAUGGUUUCGUAAACAAAAAUAACGCUUUGGCUCUGUGUGGUGCCUCGACACAUCAUAUAUACAUGGAUAGUGAAAUAUCGGGUCUACCUUAUUCACAUAGUUAUUCUUAUCAGCGUACAGAGCAAAAGACUCGGUGCAUGCUUGGUUGAGUAACCAUAGACUCACCAAUGUAGUCUAUGUAUUCUUACACUGGCCAUACAUAAAAAAAAUGUGUGUUCAUUGACCGGUUUUGCUCAAAAAAAUAAUUUGUAGCUCAUACCUUAAGACUGACCGUCGAUUGCUUCUUUUGUUAAUUGUUUCCAAUAAUGUUAUUUUUGCAUCUUUAUGUUGUCCUGCGCAUGUAUGUUCCUUUGCUGCUCAUUUAUCAAUCACAUAUUUAUGUUUUCUCUAUACCAUUUCCAAACACUCAGGUGGACCAGACUAUCGUAAGCAUUUUUAGCAGAAUGAUUCUUGAUAUUAUGUUGGAUCAUGUUGGAAUUCCUAGAGCUAUUUAUCGGAGAAGGAUGUACCCGCAUAGCACAAUGACUGUCAUUGUGCUUUUCUACCGGAGAAAUGCACGCAUUUGAGUAUUUCUGUUAGCCAUCUUGGUUGAUUACAUCUGGUCAUUACAUUCUUCGGGAGGAGACCUUGUGUUGAGCAUGACACCCAGUCUGGCCAGCCUUGCAACUGCCAGCAACCCGAUUCAUCGACUGUAUGUUGAUCCAAGCAAUGGUCUUUGUUAUGAGGAGCCUGACUGCACCGAAUAUGAUGAGUUUCCUGGCUACUAUCCAUCUGACCAUGAGGACAACAGUAGUAAUUGCUUAUCUGAGCUUGAGCUGUAAAUGCGACCGAUGUUUUGACCGCAUAAGAAGAUGAAGUUCUUUUCGUUUAUCGAGUAAUAUUAUCAUAGGUGGAUGUGAUGCCUCUAUAGAGGCGUUGUGAAUCAGUGUAGUAGCACACCACCCUUUCCUUAUUGUAAAUUAUGUGUGCUCAUCGCUAUGAGACAGGUCCUUCGGAUGGAUUUACUAAUCCAUGGUUAUUGUAUAUUAUGUUGUAGUUCCAGUGUUGGUUCUCUAAUUUACUUUCUAUGCA